CAAUAGCGUAUAUUAAAGUUGUUGCGGUAAAAAAGCUCGUAGUUGGAUUUCUACCGAAGAUAGCCGGUCGGGUCUUCGACCUUGUAUCUGGUUUUGUCUUUGGUAUCCUCAUAGGGAACGUUUCUGCGCUUUAUUGCGUGGUGCGGUAUCUAUGACUUUUACUUUGAGGAAAUUAGAGUGUUCACGGCAGGCAAACGCCUUGAAUAUAUUAGCAUGGAAUAAUAACAUAAGAUCUUCGUCCUAUUUUGUUGGUUUCUAGGGCUAAGAUAAUGAUUAAUAGGGAUAAUUGGGGGCAUCUGUAUCAACGCGUCAGAGGUGGAAUUCUUGGAUUGCGUUGCGACAAACUACUGCGAAAGCAUUUGCCAAGGAUGUUUUCAUUGA
rnacentral:rRNA from 1 species